GAGAGCAAUGAAAUAAAUAAAUAAGCCCGGCAGCACCAAUGAGCGCGGCAGAGCCGGCGGCGGCCGGAGCGGGGCUGGCUCCUUCGCCUGCCUCUGCCUGAAGCCGCAAAGUUCAGACCCAAACGUGUUGCGCCGCCGCCUGCUGCCGCCACCUGCUCCAACGCCCCGAGGAAGGCGGGCGGGCGAGGAGCUGCAGCUGCGUCGCCUCCCGCCUGGCUUGCCUGGACCGGCCGGGAGACGGCAGGCAGACAUAUAUCAAGAAACACUAAAAACUAGAUGA
rnacentral:lncRNA from 1 species